rnacentral:rRNA from 1 species
AUUGAACGCUGGCGGCAUGCCUUACACAUGCAAGUCGAACGGUAACAGGUCUUCGGAUGCUGACGAGUGGCGAACGGGUGAGUAAUACAUCGGAACGUGCCCGAUCGUGGGGGAUAACGGAGCGAAAGCUUUGCUAAUACCGCAUGCGAUCUACGGAUGAAAGCAGGGGACCGCAAGGCCUUGCGCGGACGGAGCGGCCGAUGGCAGAUUAGGGAGUUGGUGGGAUAAAAGCUUACCAAGCCGACGAUCUGUAGCUGGUCUGAGAGGACGACCAGCCACACUGGGACUGAGACACGGCCCAGACUCCUACGGGAGGCAGCAGUGGGGAAUUUUGGACAAUGGGCGAAAGCCUGAUCCAGCCAUGCCGCGUGCAGGAUGAAGGCCUUCGGGUUGUAAACUGCUUUUGUACGGAACGAAAAGACUCCUUCUAAUAAAGGGGGUCCAUGACGGUACCGUAAGAAUAAGCACCGGCUAACUACGUGCCAGCCGCCGCAGUAAAAC